UACUACUCUUGACACUACUAGUAUUUUGUUUUACUUUAGCGCUAUUACCCAUGCCGCAGUACUGGUACUUUAAAAAAAUAUAUCAUUUUCCAGAGUGGCAUUAAACACGCUGUAUUCAAUUAUAUUUUCCCUUGUGUGUAUAUAUAUAUAUAGCUAUCAAAAUCGUUGGAUAUCAUUUAGAUAUCAUCGUUUGAGCUUUUUUGUCUAACGACCGUUGAAUAUCCUACAAGUGACGUCAAAAAAUUUAACCGCGAUGAAAUCAACAUUGUUGUCGUGUUCGAUCGCCGUAACGCUUCUCACGGUCUGUUGUUUGUCCAACGCGUUUGAUUGGGAAAAAUAUUCCAACGGUGAACUCAUAAAGUCUGAGCUGAUAUUCAGCGAUCCCAUUAACGUCGUAUUCGGCACGAUAAAUGACGGCUUUAUCGAAACGAGGCAGUAUAUGAUGGCCGCGAAAAUCAGGGCGUACAAACUGCUGUACAUGUUUGUAGGCUAUUGCAAAUUCAGGCUUCCAUUUGAUUCGUCGAAUGAAAUGAGGAUCCUAAUUAGCGCAUCAACGAGUUACGUCAUCAAAUUCAUGAAACAUCAUAAUACGGACAUUUCCGAUCUGGAGACACUCUUGGACGACACUAUUUUGAAUUCUGAGAACGCGGACUAUACUCUGCUCAAUUCGUUGCAGAAAUUCGAAAAUGGCGUUUACGAGUUGUUGUUUAACGACGUGACAAUAUUCAAUAUGACGGUGUUGGGGGUGACCCCGGCUAGACAUUUCGAAAAAUCGCUCGAGUUAGCGAUAAGAUGGUGGACGUUUUUCAACAACUCAGAGGACGAAGAAAUUUUGAAAACUUACAUCCCCGCGAGAUACUCAUACGAAAGGGACACUUCUGAAGCGGUGAAUUAUUUUUACAAUAAAAUCAUAAAAGAGCACUUGAUCGAGCAGAAAAAAAAGGAAGAAGAAGAAGGUAACGAAAUAAAUGCCUUGGAAUAUGAUAUCGUUAAUGCGUAUCGCCGAGAAAAAAAAAGACAGAAACGCGAAAAAAAAAAUUAACCUUAUAAUUAAAUAAAAAAAUUUCACUCUUAAAUUGUUUAAUUAAAAUUAUAAUUCAUUGUAUAUUUAAUACUUAUAGCGUGGGAAGUAAAAUUGUAUUCAUAAGAUAUAACACGUUGUAACUUAUGUACAUUGAUUAAAGUAAUAAUAAAUCACACGAAUCUAUAGAGUAA